UCCCAGCCUGCUUCCCCGCCGGCCGCCGCCCUCCCUCCUCCCCGGGAGAGAGCUAGGCGCGCGGGUCCCUCUGCGCCACCCCCGCCCCCGCCCCUUCCGAGCAAACUUUUGGCACCCGCCGCAGCCCAGCGCGCGUUCGUGCUCCGCAGGGCGCGCCUCUCUCCGCCAAUGCCAGGCGCGCGGGGGAGCCAUUAGGAGGCGAGGAGAGAGGAGGGCGCAGCUCCCGCCCAGCCCAGCCCUGCCCAGCCCUGCCCGGAGGCAGACGCGCCGGAACCGGGACGCGAUAAAUAUGCAGAGCGGAGGCUUCGCGCAGCAGAGCCCGCGCGCCGCCCGCUCCGGGUGCUGAAUCCAGGCGCGGGGACACGAGCCAGGCGCCGCCGCCGGAGCCCGCGGAGCCGGGGCCAGAGCCGGAGCGCGUCCGCGUCCACGCAGCCGCCGGCCGGCCAGCACCCAGGGCCCUGCAUGCCAGGUCGUUGGAGGUGGCAGCCAGACAUGCACCCGGCCCGGAAGCUCCUCAGCCUCCUCUUCCUCAUCCUGAUGGGCACUGAACUCACUCAAAAUAAAAGAGGAAACAAAGGAGAGAAGAUGGGAGGGCCAGAGAGCCAGAGGAAGACCACAGGAGAGGAGAUACUGAAUGAGCUUCCCUUGUUUUGCCUGGAAGCCCUCACUGGCUCCCUGGCUCUGCCCAGAAUGUGCAGUCCAAAUCCCAAUCCAGCAGUGGGGUUACGUCGUCCCGUUUACCCUCAGAGUCCCUCUCCUGGUGCUGCCCAGACGAUCGGCCGGUCCCCCCUGGAGAGAGGUUCGGUGUGGCCUCUAGGAGAGAAGUUUUCUUGGCCACAGGAAGGCCUGGUGGAGGGGUGGUGGUUGCCCACUGUGGCUGGACAGAUGCAUUCAUUCACGUGCACACACACACACACACACACACGCACACACAGGGGAGCAGAUACCUGCAGAGAAGAGCAACCAGGUCCCGAUGAGUGGCAAGCUGCCCUACAAAGAGCUGUGCUUGUGUCUUAUCAAGACACCUUGGCAAAGAGAUGGCUGGUUCUGGGUGGUCCUGGACAAGGCCGCACCCAAGGGCCCUCCAAGCCUUAAUGGCACCCUUAAACCUCCAUGCCCAGGCCAAAAGAUGCUUUUUCUCCGUAAGUUCUCCUCUUUGUGUCUUUGUAAAGAUUCUCUGUUCUGGGGAGAAACUUUUGGUUCAACUUCAAUUAGAAGCUUUAUCUCAGUGGGGAAAGUAUUUGUCCAUCCACGCAAAGGGUCCUGGACAUCCGAACCCCAGCCAGCCCCUGUGCACACCCCUGUAUCCUCAGAUCUUGGUGUCAGGGCCCAGCCAGCCACCUUCAGGACCCUGGUCAGCUCCGCCAGCCGGCAGCCUCCCGGGUCAAGAAGGGAAAUGCCGCUGUUUUCUUUUCUGGCCUGGCAGGUUCCUUUCUCUGAAGCUGAGCCACAGGCUGUCUCAGGGGAAUGUGUCCCUCGACUCAGCCAGGAGGCACGUCCCACCCUCACGGUACAGCUCCACCUUCCCUGGGCUGGCUUCUGAUAAUUGUGCUUUCGGAUAAUUGGAGGCCAAUUAUCCCUAAUGUGGUGGGAUUUUGGAGAAAAGGCUCAGCAGGUGAAAUCAUUUUGAGUCUCUGAAGGGGGUGGACAGUGGCUGGCUCAGCACCAGCACCUGAGAGUCUGGCUACCCUGGUCCCCACCUGGGUGGGCCCCCCUGGGGUUAUGCCAGGUGACUUUCAUCUUUGACCUCUAAGGUGUCACCUGGGGUCGGGAGUGGGUAUGGGUGCAGGACCAGCCAGCUCUGAUUCCAAGAGCUACCUGGGGACAUCCAUCCCCAAGCAUCUUACUUUUGAUUCCAAAGUUAUGCGUUGUGGGUUCCUUGAGCAAUGCUGUUGACAUUUGUGAGUGAGUGAAGAAACAAGUCUGGGCUUCACGAAAGGGUGCUGGAGCUACCUGGUGUCUGCCUCCUGCUUCUACUGUAGGUAAAUUGCUCCCCACAGCCACAUCCUUGCUUUUAACUCCGCCUAAGGAAUGGACAUGUGAUUCUAGGGCUACCGUGUUUCUAAAUGAGCAUACGUCGACAUGAGAAAAUGUCAGAAAUGCCUGGAUCCUACCUGCACUUAAUACAUGCUGCCUGGAGGAUUCAGGCGGGCAGGCAGGGGGAGUGGAGCACAUGGCCGGGCCAUCUGUUCUCCCGACAGCUUGCUUACGAUGAGACACUCCAUCAAACGCCAACCGUUGAUGGAUGGCCUACGACACGCAAGGGCUGUGGGGCCAGGUGAACUUUGUCCUCAGACAGAAAGACAUUUUACAUGGUCUUGCUCUGUGGUUUUCAAUAAAAGGCUGGUAUUUCAUGCUCUUAAAGAAGCAGGGUAAAGUGGCAUCGUACUGAGCUUCCCGGGCAGGAUACCGAGGCGUUGAUCUCUGGGCCUUGGGGAAGGUGGGGCAGGGCAGGGGCUCCCUGGGCUCCCAUCUCCACACCCCACAAGCUUCCUUUCAGAGUGAAGCAUGUUUUUUUGUAGGUAAUAGGGUAAAAGGGACCGGGAAUCCUUCUAGCAACAACCUUGAACCCAGAUGGCCUCAUUCUCACCCCGAUCCCACCAGACAUUGGCUGUGUGACCUUGAGAAAGGCCCUUUAACCCCUCUGAGCCUGACCUUCCUUGUUUCACAAGGAAGAUUAAACAAGAUGAUUCUUGAGUAAGAUCCCUUCCUGCUACAGACCCCCAACCCCAUUCUUUCAUUGGCUCACUCAUCCUCUCCUUAAACAAGCCUUUCCUGGAUACCAGCUGGUUGGAUUUAACUCGGUCAAUUCCGGGCUUACAAUGGUGAGUGAGCCAAACCCUUGCCGCUUGGCACCUAGGGCUGCAUGCUUUGAGGGAAGACCCCAGGCUCUGCCAUAAUCACGUGUUUCAGUGGCACAAGAAGUGUCUGCCCCGAGGGCUCUGGGUGGGAGUUGGGGAGUGAGUUCUGUUUUGGAAGCUGGAGGAAGCUCUGGAGAAGGAGGAUGUUUGAUCUGGGUCCAAGGUUGCACCUGGGUCCACUAGUGAGCCCGGGGAAAAGAAGAG